rnacentral:misc_RNA from 1 species
ACAGAGAAAGAAAAGAGAAGAAAGGAAAAGAUUAAAAGACAAAGGUAUACAACACUCGUAAAAAAUCUAAGUAGCGUAGGUGCAAAAGCCGAACUGACUGGGUCACUGGCAAAAAUGCAAACGAACGACGUUUCCCGUGGAAAUGGCGAGGGAAGCCGACAAUGGGCGAUGGACGCGGCGCACAAUGGAACGUAAUACAGUUAUCCGAGCUGAAUGGGCCGAUGCCGGAGGAAAAAGAGCGGCUCGCGUAGGAGCCACGUCUCAGGAAACACGCAUAAUACACGGCGGAGUAACGGAGAAAUUGAUCGAGAUAAUUUCUGGUUGAUAUUGUGGUGUUAUUCCUUUUUUGGUAUAUUUGCUUCCGGAUAAAAGUAUUAAGUUACAAACUAAUAGUUCGAGAAAUUAAAAAUAUCGUAUCGGUACCAUUCUUUUGAAAG